GUGAAUCAUCGAAUUUUUGAACGCAAAUUGCACUCUCCUCUGAGAGUAUGCCUGUUUCAGGUUCAGCCUAUAUAAAAUCCACAUCGUUUCUGUUUCGCGGUGGCGUUCGUCGGAAAUUGGGUCAUCUUAACUCCUUUUGAUUUAAGCGACUUAUAAUUUUCUUUUGGUUCCUUGAACGUUUCUUUGAU
rnacentral:misc_RNA from 1 species